rnacentral:misc_RNA from 1 species
CAGAGUUCUCGCCCUACCGGGUAGAUCUCCCACCCACUGUUAUUGCUACUGUCGUUGCUUUGGCGGGCCGCCGGGCCCUGCCCGGCCGCCGGCCCCGGCUGGCGCGCGCCCGCCAAAGGCCCCUAAACUCUGAAUGUCAGUGUCGUCUGAGUACUAUACAAUAGUUA